rnacentral:rRNA from 1 species
UCGGGAAUUUUGCGCAAUGGGAGGAAACUCUGACGCAGUGACGCCGCGUAUAGGAAGAAGGUUUUCGGAUUGUAAACUAUUUUAGUCAGGGAAGAAAAAUAGACAGUACCUGAAGAAUAAGCUCCGGCUAACUACGUGCCAGCAGCCGCGGUAAUACGUAUGGAGCAAGCGUUAUCCGGAUUUACUGGGUGUAAAGGGUGCGCAGGUGGCGUGGCAAGUCAGAAGUGAAAACCCGGGGCUCAACCCCGCGGACUGCUUUUGAAACUGUCAUGCUGGAGUCCAGGAGAGGUAAGCGGAAUUCCUAGUGUAGCGGUGAAAUGCGUAGAUAUUAGGAGGAACACCAGUGGCGAAGGCGGCUUACUGGACUGGUACUGACACUGAGGCACGAAAGCGU